GACGAACGCUGGCGGCGUGCUUAACACAUGCAAGUCGAACGGAAAGGCCCUGCUUUUGUGGGGUGCUCGAGUGGCGAACGGGUGAGUAACACGUGAGUAACCUGCCCUUGACUUUGGGAUAACUUCAGGAAACUGGGGCUAAUACCGGAUAGGAGCUCCUGCUGCAUGGUGGGGGUUGGAAAGUUUCGGCGGUUGGGGAUGGACUCGCGGCUUAUCAGCUUGUUGGUGAGGUAGUGGCUUACCAAGGCUUUGACGGGUAGCCGGCCUGAGAGGGUGACCGGCCACAUUGGGACUGAGAUACGGCACAGACUCCUACGGGAGGCAGCAGUGGGGAAUAUUGCACAAUGGGCGGAAGCCUGAUGCAGCAACGCCGCGUGCGGGAUGACGGCCUUCGGGUUGUAAACCGCUUUCGCCUGUGACGAAGCGUGAGUGACGGUAAUGGGUAAAGAAGCACCGGCUAACUACGUG
rnacentral:rRNA from 1 species